CUUUAAACCUUGCUAUAGUGCUUAAUAAAGAGGUAGCAUUUGCUUGUAAACAAAGUGGUGUUGUCAGCAAACGUGUCCAUUUUAUACCGAUUUUUCAAUAGAUGCUACUGAUUAUUUCUCUGUGCAUGCUAUAUCUAGUCAUAACUUAUAUUGUUAGAGUGCUGCCUCUAUUUGUCCCAGUCAUAUAUCUGUUUAUAAUAGGUAGGCACUCCUAGAACUCACAGGAGAUUCCUUGCUCGAGAUAGUGGGACCUAGGGCCCUUUGCCACGAACAACACCAAAAGGUUUAUUGGGGAUGCCUUCCAAUACAACGGCUAUAGAUAGUCUCUACUGUGUUGGUGAUAGUUGUUUUCCAGGACAGGGUGUCAUAGUUGUAUCUUUCUCAGGAAUCAUAUGUGCUCACAGAGUUUCUGUGAUAUAGGUAUUG